CUAUUUUGUUGUAUCAUCGAUUAAAGAACGUAUCUUCCCUGCUCAUUUUUUCUGGUCAUUUUCAUGGUAAUUUUCACUACACACAUCUUCAUGUCAUCUCUCUCGCUCAAGUUCGCAUUGUACCGUCUUGCUCACUUUGCGUCGUACUCUCUCUCGCUCACGUUCGUGUUGUGCUCUCUUCCAAAUCGGAGUUCAUUUUAACAUUGGAGUUGAAAAUUCCUGUUUCUAAAUACCUAGGUUGGAUUGAUCGAAAUCGAAGAGAAUAGGUCUCCAAUCGUCCUCUUAAUUCGGUUGUUUCAAGUUUGAGGGAAGCUUUAUGACUUGAAUAAGGAGCAUCAGAUGCGUCUUGAACAGAAGUCAAUCUUUCACAUGAAGAAGGUAUGGAGCAAUGAGAGUUGAUGGGCAAAACAACCAACAACAAAGAAAGACCAACAUCAAGGACAUGACCUAUUAGACAUUUAGAAUUUUACACUUGACUACGUUAUCAUUUAUAGAUUAUGUUUUAUUAGAUCUUGGUUAGGAUUAUAUCUUAUAGCUUUAAUUUGGACCGAGUUGUUGGGACUUUUUUGUUUGUAGCUUGAAUUUGGAAUGUUAUUAUCUUGGAUUUCGAUUU